UACGUAGGGUGCGAGCGUUAAUCGGAAUUACUGGGCGUAAAGCGUGCGCAGGCGGUUCGCCAAGUCAGGUGUGAAAUCCCCGGGCUUAACCUGGGAAUUGCGCUUGAAACUAGCGGGCUUGAGUGUGGCAGAGGGGGGUGGAAUUCCACGUGUAGCGGUGAAAUGCGUAGAUAUCCGGAGGAACACCGGUGGCGAAGGCGGCUUCCUGGACCGACACUGACGCUGAGGCGCGAAAGCCAGGGGAGCAAACGGG
rnacentral:rRNA from 1 species